rnacentral:rRNA from 1 species
CCUACGGGUGGCUGCAGUGGGGAAUAUUGGACAAUGGGCGAAAGCCUGAUCCAGCAAUGCCGCGUGUGUGAAGAAGGCCUUCGGGUUGUAAAGCACUUUCAGUGGGGAAGAAAGCCUUGGGGCUAAUACCCUCGAGGAAGGACAUCACCCACAGAAGAAGCACCGGCUAACUCCGUGCCAGCAGCCGCGGUAAUACGGAGGGUGCGAGCGUUAAUCGGAAUUACUGGGCGUAAAGCGCGCGUAGGCGGUCUGAUAAGCCGGUUGUGAAAGCCCCGGGCUCAACCUGGGAACGGCAUCCGGAACUGUCAGGCUAGAGUGCAGGAGAGGAAGGUAGAAUUCCCGGUGUAGCAGUGAAAUGCGUAGAGAUCGGGAGGAAUACCAGUGGCGAAGGCGGCCUUCUGGACUUACACUGACGCUGAGGUGCGAAAGCGUGGGGAGCAAACAGGAUUAGAUACCCUAGUAGUC